GAAAGUUUUGAGGAGCCCAAGGAUCUAUCUAGAUUGUAUCUAUCACCUAGAAGGGGGUGAAUAGGUGUACCGGCCAAAAACCACAAAUCUCGAUGCAAUAAAAAUAAAUGCGGAAAAUAAAAAGCACACCGAGAUUUACGUGGGAAAACUCCAACUUGGAGAAAAACCCACGGGACCAACACGCGAAAAAAUAAUUCACUAAGAGAAAAGAUUACAAGGUGAUUACCGACUCCAUGGACUCAACCUCUCUUAACCUCCUAUGAAUCUUCGCGCUACCCUCCGGGUUGUCCACGCCCUCACGUUCGAGUCCACGAACGCCUCCACUUCGAAUCCACGAAGCUUCAAUCACGCCGAAUCCACGACGCCACUCGAAUCCACGAGCCAACGAUCCGAAUCCACGAACCGCCUUUGUUCACGCCGAAUCCACGACGCCGUUCAUGAAGAGCAUCAUGAUUAUGGUGAUCCUUCGCUUAGGAGUAUCGUAGAAAACCAGGGAA
rnacentral:lncRNA from 1 species